rnacentral:rRNA from 1 species
UGACGGUACCUGACUAGGAAGCCCCGGCUAACUACGUGCCAGCAGCCGCGGUAAUACGUAGGGGGCAAGCGUUAUCCGGAUUUACUGGGUGUAAAGGGAGCGUAGACGGCAAGGUAAGUCUGAAGUGAAAUGCCGGGGCUCAACCCCGGAACUGCUUUGGAAACUAUCUCGCUCGAGUACCGGAGGGGUAAGCGGAAUUCCUAGUGUAGCGGUGAAAUGCGUAGAUAUUAGGAGGAACACCAGUGGCGAAGGCGGCUUACUGGACGGUAACUGACGUUGAGGCUCGAAAGCGUGGGGAGCAAACAGGAUUAGAUACCCUG